rnacentral:lncRNA from 1 species
GGAGAAUGAAAAAAAAAACGAAAAUUGAAGGACUCCCAGCAAGUGUCUUCUGAAUAGGCAAACAAGCAUAUAAAUAGGGGUGCAGUGUAGCUACGAAGAGCAAGGCUCUGUAUAUAUAUUGUUACUACUACUGAACAUAUCUGUUAGGUUAUGAGUUGUAAUAGACUAGGACUAGGACAUUGUAGUCCGAGUAGGUCUUUUAAGGUUAUGUAACUCAAACUCUAGUUGUAAUUAUCUAGGACUCGUAUGAGCCCGGACUAUAUAUAAUGGAAACUCAGGAGACCUAGAGGUGAAGCCGUUCCAUUAUAUUCCACAAUGUCAUCAUACCACUAACUGAUAACACAUAUCCAAACCUUUUUUGGAUACAGGCAGUAGCUAAUUGUUAAUUAUUGUAAUAUAACUAAUCGGCAAGGCUCAUGUAGUAGUUUAAUUUGUCAAUCCAUGGGAGAUGUUGGCUUAACGUGAUGUGUUAGUUAUAAC